rnacentral:rRNA from 1 species
UACGGUGGCCAUGCCGGCGGGGAUCACCCGUUCCCAUUCCGAACACGGAAGUUAAACCCGCCAGGGCCGAUGGUACUGCCCGGGAAACUGGGUGGGAGAGUAGGACGCCGCCGAUA